UAAGGAAUAUUGGACAAUGGAGGCAACUCUGAUCCAGCCAUGCCGCGUGAAGGAAUAAGGCCCUAUGGGUUGUAAACUUCUUUUAGACGGGACAAAACCCCUUUACGUGUAAAGGGUUGAUGGUACUGUCAGAAUAAGCAUCGGCUAACUUCGUGCCAGCAGCCGCGGUAAUACGAAGGAUGCAAGCGUUAUCCGGAAUUAUUGGGUUUAAAGGGUGCGUAGGCGGACUAAUAAGUCAGUGGUGAAAGCCUGCAGCUUAACUGCAGAAUUGCCAGUGNUACUGUUAGUCUUGAGUACAGUUGAGGUAGGCGGAAUGUGUCAUGUAGCGGUGAAAUGCUUAGAUAUGACACAGAACACCGAUUGCGAAGGCAGCUUGCUAAGCUGUAACUGACGCUGAGGCACGAAAGCGUGGGGAGCAAACA
rnacentral:rRNA from 1 species